rnacentral:rRNA from 1 species
AUACGGAGGGUGCAAGCGUUAUCCGGAUUUACUGGGUUUAAAGGGAGUGCAGGCGGUAAUUUAAGUCAGUGGUGAAAGCCUACAGCUCAACUGUAGAACUGCCAUUGAAACUGAAUUACUUGAGUGUGGUAGAGGUAGGCGGAAUACAACAUGUAGCGGUGAAAUGCAUAGAUAUGUUGUAGAACACCGAUUGCGAAGGCAGCUUACUAAACCAUUACUGACGCUCAGGCACGAAAGCGUGGGGAGCGAACAGGAUUAGAUACCCUAGUAGUCC